GAUGAACGCUGGCGGCAUGCCUUACACAUGCAAGUCGAACGGUAACGGGCCUUCGGGUGCCGACGAGUGGCGAACGGGUGAGUAAUGUAUCGGAACGUACCUUUCAGUGGGGGAUAACGUAGCGAAAGUUACGCUAAUACCGCAUAUUCUGUGCGCAGGAAAGCAGGGGAUCGCAAGACCUUGCGCUGAUUGAGCGGCCGAUAUCAGCUUAGCUAGUUGGUGAGGUAAAGGCCCACCAAGGCGACGAGCUGUAGCGGGUCUGAGAGGAUGAUCCGCCAAACUGGAACUGCGACACGGUCCAGACUCCUACGGGAGGCAGCAGUGGGGAAUUUUGGACAAUGGGGGCAACCCUGAUCCAGCCAUGCCGCGUGAGUGGAGAAGGCCUUCGGGUUGUAAAGCUCUUUCGGCCGGGAAGAAAUCGUAUCAGCUAAUACCUGGUGCGGAUGACGGUACCGGCAUAAGAAGCACCGGCUAACUACGUGCCAGCCGCCGCGGUAACAC
rnacentral:rRNA from 1 species